rnacentral:lncRNA from 1 species
GAGGGUGGUGCUGAUUGCAUGGAGAUUAUGACACAGGGAAACUGCUAUUAUCCUGACACUGUAAUUGCUCAUGCUUCCUAUGCCACCGCAACGGUGAUGGAGGAGAAGCUUAAGGAAGUAGGUGGAGUUUUGGAGUUUAAGGUUGAGGCAGGGAAAGCCAUUAACGAUGCAAGAGGUGGUUGCCGGCGACGGUGUGGCAGCGAUCUAAGUGGCACGGCGAAAACAGUACAAUGAAGAAGUUCUAGGGUUUGUGGAAGGAAGAAGGAAGAAGCUCGAGUUAUUUUAAAAAAUUUAUUCAAAAUAAAAAAUAAAUAAUACAAAUAAUUAAUAAUAAUAAUAAUAAUAAAAGUUAAAAUGAUAAUAAUAACUAGAUUU